rnacentral:rRNA from 1 species
AGAUGAGACUUCCAUACCUUCGGGUGAGAGGCUCCCAGCCAGACUACUGGGUUGAUAGGCCAGAUGUGGAAGCACGGUAACGUGUGCAGCUGACUGGUACUAAUAAGCCGAUGACUUGAUAAC